GAGAUUGAGGAUUCGUUAAGUUGUUGAAGACGCAGCUUGGACGAAAGGUGAGAAUACCUUGAAUCCCUUCUGAGUUUGUCAGGUGGGCAUUCUCGUGGCAAAUAAUGAGGGAUAAAUUACCCUAGGGAGCAAGACCCAAGAACAGUUAGAGCUCUAGUCUGGCGCCAUCUAGUACUCAUGACUGGAGUGUAAUCAUGA